rnacentral:rRNA from 1 species
UACGAAGGGGGCUAGCGUUGCUCGGAAUUACUGGGCGUAAAGCGUGCGCAGGCGGUGAUGUAAGACAGUUGUGAAAUCCCCGGGCUCAACCUGGGAACUGCAUCUGUGACUGCAUCGCUGGAGUACGGUAGAGGGGGAUGGAAUUCCGCGUGUAGCAGUGAAAUGCGUAGAUAUGCGGAGGAACACCGAUGGCGAAGGCAAUCCCCUGGGCCUGCACUGACGCUCAUGCACGAAAGCGUGGGGAGC